CCGCAGGCUGCAGCGGCGCAGCGGCGGCGGCCUCGUCCGGAGGGUGCGGGGCGCGCUGCGGCCCCUCCUGCUCGCGCUCCUGCCGCUUUCCCCGCUCCUCCUCCUCGUCGUCGCCCGGCUCGGCGAGAGCUGCGAGCGGCAAGAUGGCGGCGCCCAGGCCGCCGCCCGCUCGGCUGUCGGGCGUCAUGGUGCCCGCGCCCAUCCAGGACCUGGAGGCCCUCCGCGCGCUCACGGCGCUUUUCAAGGAGCAGCGGAAUCGAGAAACAGCGCCCAGGACUAUCUUCCAAAGAGUCCUGGAUAUCUUAAAGAAAUCUUCUCAUGCUGUUGAGCUGGCCUGCAGAGAUCCGUCCCAAGUGGAACAUCUGGCUUCCAGUCUGCAGUUAAUAACAGAAUGCUUCAGGUGUCUCCGAAAUGCUUGUAUAGAGUGUUCUGUGAACCAAAAUUCAAUCAGGAACUUGGAUACAAUUGGCGUUGCUGUUGAUUUGAUUCUUCUUUUUCGUGAACUUCGAGUGGAACAGGAAUCCCUGUUGACAGCUUUUCGCUGUGGCCUACAGUUUUUAGGCAAUGUUGCCUCACGGAAUGAAGAUUCCCAGUCUAUUGUUUGGGUGCAUGCUUUCCCAGAACUCUUUUUGUCUUGCUUAAAUCAUCCAGACAAAAAAAUUGUUGCCUACUCAUCAAUGAUUUUGUUCACAUCCCUUAAUUCUGAAAGAAUGAAAGAAUUGGAAGAAAACCUCAAUAUUGCGAUUAAUGUCAUAGAAGCGCACCAAAAGCAGCCUGAAGCAGAAUGGCCGUUCUUGAUUAUUACAGACCAUUUUCUGAAAAACCCGGAAUUGGUAAAAGCCAUGUAUGCCAAAAUGAGCAAUCAAGAAAGGGUUACAUUGUUAGAUCUUAUAAUAGCCAAAAUAGUGGGUGAUGAGCCACUGACCAAGGAUGACAUCCCUGUGUUUUUGAGCCAUGCUGAGUUGAUUGCAAGCACUUUUGUGGAUCAGUGCAAGAUUGUGCUAAGAUUGACCUCUGAGCAGCAUGCUGAUGAUGAGGAGGCACUGGCUACAAUUAGGCUUCUCGAUGUCCUGUGUCAAAUGACUGCUAAUACUGAUCUGCUCGGCUAUCUACAGGUUUUUCCUGGCUUGCUGGAAAGAGUGAUUGAUCUUUUACGACUGAUUCAUGUAGCUGGCAGUGAUACCUCAAACAUCUUUAGUACCUGUGGUUGCAUAAAAGCAGAAGGUGACAUCUCAAAUAUGGCUGAAGGGUUUAAGUCUCAUCUCAUUCGUCUGAUUGGAAAUCUGUGUUACAAGAAUAAAGAUAACCAGGACAAGAAGCCAGUCACCAUGUAAGAAGUGCAGAUUCCCUUAAAUCACCGUCCCAAGUGCACAUGAAGAUGCCUUGGAGGAUGAGAUGCAAUGAGGAGAGAGAAAGAGACUAGUUGAGGAAACCAAGGCACCAGAUGUGAGCGAGAGACCAUCUUGGAAGUUCUUUAGGUAGUUGCUCAGUUCCUUAGUUCUAAACUCAGUUCUUUAGUUGCUCAGCUGAUGCCACAUGAAUCAGGGACAGCCUGCCCUGCAAAACCCUUUCUGAAUUCAAGACCCAAAACAUUGUGAGAAAAAGUAAAAAAUUGGGAAAAAAGUAAGUUGUGUAGGUUCUGCUUCUGUUAAUGGCCCUGUAAGCUAUUAUUGGACUGAUCCACCUGCAGAUAAUAAUUAUAAACUCUGGACAAAAGACAGCUAUGUGAAGACACUCAAAUUUGACACACAGAGGCAGAUUUUGGAGUUGGAUCAACAGUUGGAAGAAGGGAACAGCACACUGUGUGCAAUGUAGGGCAGUUAAAACCGAUUGAAAAUCUACAGUCCUUUUGGCUUGAAGAAUCAAAGAACGAUUUGGAGCGACCACAGCUAUUGGAAAGUGAAGGAGGGAAUCCUGGAAAGGAGAAGGCAAGCCCCAACUUCUGUGUACCACCCGUCUAAAUCCCUGCUGAUACCUAAGUCACACCUGCAUGGGGCAGGCUCUAAGCAGCUAAGGUAAAUGAGCUGGAUGGCAUUCCACUGAUCCUGGACAGCUGCAGC